GCGGAUGUAGCUCAGUUGGUUAGAGCGCCAGUUUGUGGCACUGGAGGCCGUGGGUUCAAGCCCCAUCAUUCGCCCCA
rnacentral:tRNA from 2 species